GGAGUUUAGGAUAAAAAGUCCAAGAGCCUUCAAAGCUCUAAGUAAACCAAAAAGUUUAACUCCUG
rnacentral:tRNA from 1 species